rnacentral:rRNA from 1 species
GACGAACGCUGGCGGCGUGCUUAACACAUGCAAGUCGAACGGAAAGGCCCUGCUUUUGUGGGGUGCUCGAGUGGCGAACGGGUGAGUAACACGUUAGUAACCUGCCCUUGACUUUAGGAUAACUUCAUGAAACUUGUGCUAAUACCGGAUAAGAGUUCCUGCUGCAUGGUGGGGGUUGGAAAGUUUCGGCGGUUGGGGAUGGACUCGCUGCUUAUCAGCUUGUUCGGUGGGUAGUGGCUUACCAAGGCUUUGACGGGUAGCCGGCCUGGGAGGGUGAACGGCCAAAUUGGGACUGAACUAAGGCACAGACGCCUACGGGAGGGAGAAGUGGGGAAGAGUGUAAAAUGGGAGGAAGGCAGGUGGAGCAAAGCCGCGCGGGGGAUAACGGGAUUCGGGUAGUAAACCGAUUUCGCCUGUGACGAAGCGUGAGUGACGGUAAUGGGUAAAGAAGCACCGGCUAACUACGUG